UACGGGGGGGCAAGCGUUGUUCGGAAUUACUGGGCGUAAAGGGCUCGUAGGCGGCCAACUAAGUCAGACGUGAAAUCCCUCGGCUUAACCGGGGAACUGCGUCUGAUACUGGAUGGCUUGAGUUCGGGAGAGGGAUGCGGAAUUCCAGGUGUAGCGGUGAAAUGCGUAGAUAUCUGGAGGAACACCGGUGGCGAAGGCGGCAUCCUGGACCGAUACUGACGCUGAGGAGCGAAAGCCAGGGGAGCAA
rnacentral:rRNA from 1 species